AAAUGGAGAUCGAAAUAAAAGUAAUCUCCACAGAAAUCAUCAAACCAUCUUCUCCAACUCCAAAAUCACUGCAAAAACACUACCUAUCAUUUCUCGAUCAACUCGCUCCACCCUUCUUCAUGCCUCUCGUCUACUUCUACUCAUCAAACCCUAAAAUCCCCAAUUCCCAAAAAUCAGACCACCUCAAGAAAUCCUUGUCGGAAACCCUCUCGAGAUUCUACCCCCUCGCCGGCCGCCUCGCCGACAACCUCCACGUCGACUGCAACGACGGCGGCGCGCCCUUCUCCGAAGCCGAAGCCGACUGCGACCUCUCACAAGUCAUCACCAAUCCAAACCCUAAAGACAUGAACAAAUUCCUCCCUUUCUCACUCAACCACCCAUCCCUAGAUUUCUGCAUGGCGGCUCAAGCCACCUAUUUCCGCUGCGGCGGCGUCGCCGUCGGCCUCCUCAUCUCCCACAAGAUCGCUGACGCCUUGUCGUUCUUCUCAUUCGCCAACUCCUGGUCCGCCGCCGCCAGAGGCGGCACCGCCGACGCCCCGCCGUUCCCAAAGUUCGACGCCGCCGCCUACUUCCCGGCACGGGACAUCAACGGCUACAAGCCGAGCUCCAGAAUGAUGAAAGAAGAGCUCGCCACCAAAAUCUUCACGUUCCCCACCAAAAAAAUUGCAAUUCUCCGGGAACGGUAUGCCGCCGGCGCCGGUGAGUGGCCGACUCGGGUGGAGGCCCUAUCGGCUUUUAUAUGGAGCCGGUUCAUUUCGGCUACGGGUAUGAGAGCCGACCCGAAUAAGAUCUACACGGUGCACCAUGCGGUGAACAUUCGGACCCGGACUGACCCGGUCCUACCCGAAUACCACUUCGGUAACAUAAGCAGCGUGGCGAUCGCAAAGCCAGCGGUGGGGAGCGACGGGGUGACCGACGACGGCGUGGAGCUGGUGCGGAGGGUCCGGGAAGCCAUUAAGGCCAUGAACGGCGGCCACGUGGCUCGGCUGGAUCUGAUGAGUGAGCUGAUUGGUCAAAUCGAUAAGGGCGAGCUGGUUAGCUUCAGCUUCACGAGUUUGUGUAGGUUUCCGGUCUACGAGGCGGAUUUCGGGUGGGACAAACCGGUUUGGGUUGGGACAACCGGGUUAGCCUACAAAAAUUUGGUGACUUUUAUGGAUACUAGAAAUGGAGAUGGAAUUGAGGCAUGGGUUAACUUGAGGAGUGAGGAUAUGGAGAAAUUUGAGGCUGAUUUGGAGCUCCAGGACUUUCUCUCAUACCACAAAAAUUCUUUCAAUUUCACAUGAUUAGGAGUUAAUUAAUCUCCCUAGCUAACUCUAUGUUGUUUUUGAAUAUUUGUCUCUUUUUUUUGUUAUAUAUGUUUAAUUGGUGUAUAACAAUGUGUAUUACUCCUUCGAUUAAAUAUGAUCAAUAUAUAUUUUACUUUAAAAUAACUGAUUUACUUAUCUCUUCAUAGUUUGCAAUUAAUAUUUCUGAAUUUUUCAAAGUUCAGACAAUGACGAAUAUUUGCAAUUAGUAGAUUCAAAUCCGUUUGUAGCUCUAGAGGUGAAAUAAAUAUUUUGCAAGGAAUCAUACGAUCUUUUUUUUAGCAGUUAAGGAAUUCUUCAAUACACAUACUACAUAAGAAUCAAAAGCAAUGGCACUGAUUCAUCAAUCUACAUAAGUAAUUGAACAUGAGCAUACAAAUUAACAUGACAUAUAUUACUUGAUUUAAUUUGAUAUACAUAUAUAUGAAAAUUACAGACACCAACUUAAAGAGAGCAAUACAUUAAUUCAAUUUUUUAUGUAUUUUAAUUACAAAUUACUCUUCAACAAUAAAUAAUCUUCGAAUUUCUCCAUAUCCUGCUUGGUCAAUUGAAUUACUGCAUCUUUCCCAUAUCGAUCCCCACUCUUUGUAUCCAUAUUCUUGUAGGGGAACCCGCCAAUUAACCCGACCCAAACGGGUCUGCCCCAUCCAAAAUUUGCUUCAUAAAGGAAACCUGCAUAGACUCGCGAACAUGAAUCUAACCACCACUUCAUUGGCUCGAGCCUGACCCCUCAUAACCUCUUUCAAUUGCAUCUCAUUGUUCUUCAGUCUAGCCACAUAGCUGGCGUCUAACGCCUCCGCCACUUCAUCCACCUUGCAUAGAAGCCAUAAUCAAGUUAUAAACACUGUUUUUUAAGUGGAAUCAUUUCUCUACUCACAAUACAAUAAUCACUUUGAAAUAAAAUUUAUUGCUUAUGUAUUUGAUAAUUGAUUUUAAAUAUUGGUUAUGUAUACUCAUUCUAAAUAUAGAAAAUGUGGGCGAAUAAUGAAGCUAUCCGUUUGAAUGCCAUCAACCCAAAAAUAAAGAAUAAAAAUGUGGUUGUCAUAAUUUUGUGUUUAUGAGUUCAGAAAAAUAAGUUGGGCAAGGAACCAUUGGAAAUGAUUGUGAUUGAUGAAUGGAUAAGUAUUAGCAUAAUUUUAUUAAAUAACUAGUUUUGUUAAAUUAUUAUUUUUUAAUUUAUACAACCUAAUAAUUAAACAUAUUUUUUUUUAGGGCAAUAAAAUUCGAGCAUUGUCUCAAUAUGGUUCGAGAAAAAGUUUCAUGAAUUUCUUAAAGAAUGACAAAUUACAGUUAUUAAAAACUCCAAGUACUAAAAAACAAGCCUAACCUUCCAGCAUGCAAAAAGCGAUCAUGAGUGGGUGUUCAGUUUUAGCCUUAGAUCAUUGUUCUGAAUCAAUUGAAUGGCAUAAUAUUACUAAUAAUGAAUUUGAUUUCAGUCAUGAUAUCGACUCACAUGAUCCCAGUAUUGGGUAAGUAUAAUACUCUCUCCGUCCGCCAAAAGUAUUCCACAAUUACUAUAUUUGGCGUCCGCAAAAAGUAUUCCACUUUCCUUUUUAAGCCAUGGUCCCACCAUCCACCUUUAUAUUUUAUCCUUACAAACACUCUUUAUUUACAAAAAACUCACCCCAAAUUCAAUCUCAACCACACAUCUCAUAAAGUGGUGGGACCCUUUCUCCACUACAUCAACAUCAUCACACAUUUUAUUAAACUCCGUGCCCGGCCAAAGUGGAAUACUUUUGGCGGACGGAGGGAGUAUAUAUUAUAUAAAUACCUUAUAUCAUCCAUAAUUUGAAUAUAAAUUAGAUUUAUUUGCAUAUAUUCUUGGGGAGGUGAAAAUCAAAGACAUUCUUAUACGAGAUGCGACAAAUCUUACUGCAGCUAUAGUGGAAAACAUAUACCCUGAGAUAAUGAAUAAUGCAUUUGAUCAAGAAAUUUUUAAGAAUAAAGUUAUUUUGCCCCUCACAAAGAUUUUAGUAUGUGAUGAGAGUUGACACAAAUGGCUUUUUUCUUGAUGAGUAUCGGAAGCAAUGUUAUUAUGCUGGGGAUUAAUGCGCUGUUCUAGCUAGGAGCUUUGACAUUCUUCUCUAUUAUGGAGGGGUGCCUUCCUCCUAUUCCACCACGAUAUCUUUUGGUGGUGGGUUUGGCCGCUUGUGGUGUUACGGUUGGUGUGCUUGUUUCACAGGUGGCGAUGGGUUAAUUUGGAGUGACCCCCGGAUCCUUUUUCAACUCUCUGGUGCGUUAGAAGCUGGGUUCCGGUGGGACGAGCUCCGAUGGUUUUGGUUCUCCGUCUGCGCUGCUUUCGGCCGGAUUGUUCUCACGCACAUUAGUAUGUUUGUGUUGUGGGUGAUGGCGUUUGCCAUAUCUUUUGAGAACACUCUCGUCCUUCUUCGCGAUUGCUUGAUGUGGAGUUCUCUUGCUCUUUUCUUUUGUUGCUUUGAUUCUGGCAAGAUUCUUUCGGAGGCGAUGAUUAGUCCGGAGCUUUCUAUUGAUCUUUGCCGGUUUGUUUUCUUGGGUAAUGGCUGAAAUAGCGGCAUUUAUAAGGUGAUGGUUAGUCCGAAGCUGCCUAUUCUCUCCAUUUCAUAUUUUGAUUUUUAUCUUUUCUUGCCGUUUAUUCGGCUUACUUCUAAGCGGACACUCUUUUUCCCUCUUAAAGUUUUUCCCACGGAGUUUUUUUAAGUAGGAUUUUAAUAAAGUGCGAUCGGCCCUUAGUCUGUUUUCUUAUGCUUUCAAAGAUUUUUAGGAUUUUUUUUUCCUUUUAAUAAAAUGUAUUUUAAUUAAUUAAUUCAAAGCAAUUUUAUUCAAUACUCUAUUUAAUGAAACGGAAUUCAUUAAUAAAAAAUUACAUCAAAUAAUUUCACACAUUUAUACAAUAAUAGAUUCCCGUCUAAUUUUGACGGCUUGCUUAUUAGUUAUAAUUAUAAUUAAAUAUUUGAUAGUUAAAUAACUAGACGAUCUUAUCCAAAAUGACUUUGACUUAUAUAUGAUUAUCAUUUCACAAUAAAAAUAGCCAGUAGGGACAUAACUUUUAAUUAAAUUUGAGUUUUUUAUUUUUUUUCUAAAAAAAAAAAAAAAAAAUGGGAGCAAAACAGCAUGGCUUGUAUUUUACAUAUAUGUUAUUGUCUUCAAAAACUCGCGCGUUGUAUUAAUUAAUUAUCCUAUAGACACCCUGGAGUCGUCGCUUGAUAAUUAUAAUUAAAUAUAGUACUGCAUGAUACAUUUUCUAUACCUAUUUAGAAUUUAAAAAUCCAAUUUAAUAUAUUAUGCAUUAAUAGAGACAAACCAUCUUCUUUCCAACCCCAAAAUCUCUGCAAAAACUCAAACUUUCAUUUCUUGAUCAAUGCUGGCUACGUGGCUAGGCCGCUAGGCUGAAGAACAGUGAGAUACAUUUAAAAGAAAUUAUAAAGGUUCGUGCUCAGGCCAAUAAAAUUGUGGUGGCUAGAUUCAUCUUCUCGAGUCUAUGCGGAUUUCCUCUGUACGAAGCAGAUUUUGGAUGGGGCAGACCCGAUCGGGUCGGGCUUGGCGGAUUCCCCUACAAAAAUAUAGCAGCUUUAAUUUUAUAGAUACAAAAUGUGGGAAUGGAAUAGAGGCACGGAUUCAAUUAACCAAAGAUGAUAUGGAGAAAUUUGAAGCUCAUUUUAUGUUGAAGAGUAAUUUGUAAUGAAAUUUAUUACUUAAUUAUUUUGUUAAUUAGUACGCCCUCUAGCACGAUGCACGGGUUAUAAUAUACUCCUUCCGUCCCAGCCAUUAGUAUCCAACUUUUCUUUUUUGACCGUCCCACAUUUUAGUAUCUAUUUCUAUUUUUAGUUUAAGUAGGUGAGGCCCUUGCUCCAUUUUAAUUAUUUUAACAUGCACUAACAUAAAAAGUGGGGCCCUUAUUCCACUCACAACAUCCAAUCACUUUAUUAAAACUUGUAUCACUCUUAAAUGGAUACUAAAAGCUGGGAUGGAGGGAUCGUAUUUAUUUAUUUUCAAAAUUUUAAAUUAUGUAAAAAUGUUACUCUCUCUGUCCCACAAAUCUUGACAUGUAUUCCUUUUUGGAUCGUCUCACGAAUCUUGACAUAUUUUCAAAUAAGGUAAUAAUUUAGAUGUGAUGAAUCGAUCCGUUAAUGAUAUUAGGGGUGAUCAUCGUUUUCGAAGAGAAAAAGCUCAAGUAAAAUUAUCUCCAAUUAACAAUGAGAUGGAAUUAAAGCAAAAUAUUCUCCACAAAAAAUUGCAAGUAGGACAUUUGGUAUUGCACCAUGGAGUAUUAAAUUGGAAUUUUUUUUUUUCAUUAAUGAGCUAAUUAAUAAAGUUGAAUUUAAAAACUUUGUCACGAUGGAGUACAUAGUUAUUUAAAUUUUUUUCAUUAAUGAGUUAGUAGAACCCAAAAAAUUUUAAUCUUAGACAUUUAAUUUUUUGAGGUAGAAUCACUAGCAAUCAUGCACAUAGUUAUUUAAAUUUAAAUUAAGUAAUCAUUAUGCAUUACUAUAUUUAAAUUAAAAAAUAUCAAGCGACUACUCCAGGGUCUCUAUAGAAUAAUUAAUAUCACGAAUUUCUGAAAACAAGAGCAUAUAUGUAAAUAAUUAAUACGGAUCGAGAUUAAUUAAACAUUUUGAUUAAUAUAGCUGGUUACUUCAUCAUUUGGAUUUAAAAGUUUUUUUAUUUUAUUAAUUCUUUUAUUGGUAAAUAGUAGGACCGAUCCCUCCGUUCUAUAAAAAUAUAUUACUUGGAGGAACGACACGGAUUUUAAAAAAUAUAAGUUUGGUAGAUAAUAUGUUGAAUGGAAAAAAAGACUUGUAUUUUUAAGAGAUAAAUAAAUAUAUAUAUAAGAAGUUGUGUGGGGUCAUGUCUCAAAAUCGAUGUAAUAUAUUAUUAUGGGGCGGACAAAAUUAUGGGAUGAAUGGAGUAUUAUAUUAUAUAUAUUAAAAAUAAUAAAUUUGAUAGGAAAAUAACUAGAUGAUAUCUAGUCCCAAAAGGAGUGCAUCCUUAGAUAGUAAGUGUGAUGAGGAGUAAUAUGUGCAGAGUAGGGAAAGGAUACGAACCAGAGGAAUUGACCUCACCAGCGGGACGAGUAUGGCAGAAGAAAUACACUCGUCAGAAGAAUCAUCUUCACCAGAAGAGUCAUCCUGGUCAGAGAAGUCACCUUCACCAGAGAAGUCAUCCUGGUCAGAGAAGUCACCCUCACCAGAGAAGUCACCCUCGCCAGAGAAGUCAUCAUUGUCAGAGAAGUCACCCACGCCAGAGAAGUCACCCACGCCAGAGAAGUCACCAGAAAACGCGGGAGAGCCCCCGCGUAAAGACGAAAUUACUAUUCUAUCCUUCGAUCAUGCAAGGCGCAUGCGUCGCAGGCGAAUUUACCAUUUUGCCCCUCUAUGUAUUUUAUAAAUAGGCCCCGCACUCGUGCAUUGUAAUUACGCUAUCUUUUGUUUUUGAAUACAACAGCCAUUUUCUCUCUCGUACUAAGUUCUCUGAUCGCUUACUUUGCUCUUUUCGAUCAUCUCGACUAGGUAUAGUUUACGAUUUCAGCUCUAUAGUUUAGGUGUUGGUUUCGUGAAACACCAAAGUGGUAAUUAAUUAAUGGACAGAAAUUUUAAUUUUUUAUUUGUUUUAUUAGAAGUUACUAUAUUUUACAUAUAUGUUCUUGUUUUCAGAAACUCGUGGUAUUAUUAUUCUGGAAGUCAAAUAUUAGUAUGUAAAUAUGAUUAUCGAUUAUUGUUCUUGAUCCAUUUUAUUAAAACUCGUUAGGAAGAUGUUUGGGAGACGGAGAGAGUAUUUAUUAAUGAGGACCUAUAUAUAUGUAUAUAUAUAUACAUAAUAAAUUAUACUAUCCCCGUCCUUGUAAAAAGUAUUCAUUUGUAAAUGGUACGGGUUUCAAUAAAGUAGUUGAAUGUGUUGUGAGUGAAGUAAGAAUCCUAUUUUAUUGUGAGUGAAAAACUUGUCAAAAAUAGAAUGAAUAUAUUUUAUAAGAACGGACGAAAAUGACAAAUUGGAUACAUUUUAUGAGGACGGAUGGAAUAAUAAAAAAUAAAGUUGAUAAUAAAAUGACUAGAUGAUCUCAUCGAAAAUGACUGUAUGAUUAUUUCACAAUAAGAUAGUAAGUGGAAACGGACAUAACUUUUUAAACUAUAAUUUAUUUAUUAGAAAUAAUUGGGAACAUAAAGCAUGGUUUAUAUUUUAUGUGCUCUUGUUUUCAGAAACUCGUUGGUACGUAUUAAUUAUUCCAUAGACUCUCCCCUAAAAAAAUUUAUUCGUAGUUGGAGCUAGUAUAUUAUUACUUCACGAUAUUCUCCUCUACCUACAUAAAGUUUAAUUAAUCCUUUUUAUUAUUCAAUACCAAAUGUCCUACUUGCAUUAAACUAAAAUUAAUUAAGGUGUAAAAGUCUCCCUUCACUACCAAUGAUGCCUGGCUCAAGUGGCAAAAUUGAGACACUCAAAAACUCUAUUUUGUGAGAAGCUUGGUUCAAUAUGACUGCAUAUGAUAGUUUUCCACUUUUACGUCGCGUAAUGGUCCAGUCUAGUUAUGCUCUUGAAGUCAUAAUACUAUAUAUUAAUUCAGGAAUACUAUUCUUUUUAAAUCUUUUGAAAGUCAUAAUGUUAUUAGUAUAGUGGCCACGCUAUUAAUUAGUUCCAGUUUAAUUAGGUUUCAUAAAGCUUAAUUGAUUAGCUACGUACACUAUAUAUAUAGUGUUGGGUGAUCGUUUUCGGACAGAGAGAGAAGGCCGGAGAGUAACAAUGGAGGUAGAAACUAAGAUAAUUUCGACAGAGACUAUCAAACCAUCUUCUCCAACCCCAAAAUCUCUGCAAAAAUACCAACUUUCAUUUCUUGAUCAAUGUCUGCAUACAUCAUUCAGUCCAUUGGUCUUCUUCUACCCAUCAAAUCUAAAAUUUUCCAACUCCGAAAAAUCAAAGCAGCUAAAGAAAUCCUUAUCGGAGGUCCUCUCCAUAUACUACCCCAUCGCCGGCCGCCUCACCGGCAACCUCUACGUCGACUGCAACGACGCCGGUGUGCCCUUCUCCGAAGCCGAAGCCCACUGCAACGUCUCGCAAGUUAUCACCAAUCCAAACCCUAAAAACUUGAACAACUUUCUACCUCACGAGACUGAUCAUGAAUUCCAAGAUCUUUGCAUGGUUAUUCGCGCCACCUAUUUCCGCUGCGGCGGCGU
rnacentral:lncRNA from 1 species